AUAUUUGGUGCUCUACUCUCCUAGGGAACUGGAAGGAACCUGCUCUCUCCUGGGUAUACUUUUCUAAUUUUAGAGUGCUAAAGAAGCUCUUCUCACAGGGACCCGAGUGAAUCCUUUCUCCUUGGAACAAAGGACAAGAAAAAAAGAAAGGACUUUACCGCAGAAGUAAGGAAGACUCAUUUUGUUGAGAGAUUAUUUUUAGGUUCAAGGAAAUGAAUUGAUAAUGACAGGAAGUUUAUAUUUUUACAUUGGAUUGACUAGCAGCACUUUUAUUUUUUCAGAGAAGGAGUCUCACUCUGUCUCAGGCUGGAGGGCAGUGGCCUGGCAGCACUUUUUGAAUACACUCGUGCACCACAUAAUAUUUCAAUGUCUGAUUACAUUAUGUGACUGUGGUCCCUUAAGAUUAUAAUGGAUAAUUCCUGUUGCUUAGUGAUGUUGUAACAUCGUAGUGCAACAUACUACCCUUUCUGUUUAGAAACACAAACACAACAUUGUGUUAUAGUUACCUACAUUAUUCAGUACAGUAAUAUGCUAUAAAAGUUUGUAGUCUAGAAUCAUAAGGCUAUAAUAUGUAGGUUUGUGUUAAGUAUACUUCAUGAUGUUUGCACAACAAUGAAAUUGCCUAAUGAGGCGUUUCUCAGAACGUAUCUCGUCGUUAGGCAACGCAUGACUGUAUUUUAUUUCUAACGCCAUAUUAUUUGAACUGUGGGUUCACCGAAUAUAACCUGUUUGACAAACUUGCAAAGAAACACAAUGAUGAAGAUCAUGUCUCCAAGUCUUUUCUGCCGUUGCCAGUAUUCUCUCCCAAUCUCCUGUGGGCAACUUCUUCGGGAAAACACUCAUGCAAUUUCAUAAGGACAAGCGAAAAUAUGAAGAAGCUGGAUCUUGGAACUAGGCUUUGAUCACAGAGCGGAGCUGAGAUGAAAGUCCAUCCACUCAUUCAACAAAUAAUUGAGUACUUACAAAAAUUUCUGCUGUAUGGAGCUUAUAUAGUAGUGAAUAUCAAUUCUUAUUUUAUGGAUUAUAAAACAGAACUUUUUGCAACAAUUUUACACUACCCUAGGGGUACCUAUGAGUCUUCAUGCCUCAAGUAAUUGUCCUGUCCAUGUGACUAUGGAAGCCCUGAAAUCUUUGAAACCCCAGAUGACCCAUUUCACCAGACGCUUGGACAUUCUCCGUCGAGUUUGGAUUUAUAGUGGGUACCCAGAUUUAGGUCAAGGACAUAAAAUCUGAACCACUUUAGGCACUGCUCAUAAGGAGUAAAUUCCUAGUGAAAAAGCAAUGUCCCUCAGGAAUGAUUGCUAUAGCAGGCUAAAAGGUAGAUUUAUAAAUGUUUAUAAAAAGCAGAUUGGAUUUAGCAGAGGUAGCAGUGAUGACCAGGAGCAAUAGGAGGAAAUGUUCUUAAUAGUGCUGUUUGGUGGCAUCUUCUUUUUAUACAAAGAAGUCUUGCAAGCAUUUCUACUUGAAUGACUAAUUUGGAGUAAUUUUUAGUUUCUGUAUUUUUAUUAGUUAAUAGGAUCUAGGAAUAUAAUAACCUGGUGAGAAUUUCUUCGUGAAUGGCAAUCAAAUUUGUCUUAUUCAUGAAACUCAUAAAUAAGCUAUAAUCCAGCAUUUUAUAACUAGGGAAAAUAAAACUGGGGUCCUGCUGUUUAAGAGGCUAAGGCAAUUUAACAGAACACUGGGGGAUUUAUAGUAGAUUUAUGAUGAAGAUACAUUCUAACUGGAAGCUUAAUUGUGAUUUAAAUUAUAGGUCAAGCUGAGCAAUGUGUUUUCUUUUUAGGGGGAAAUCUUUAGAGAGUUAGAGUGUGCUUGUUUAAAGAGGAAACAGACCAAAUGAGAAAACAGAUUGCAUUUUCUGUUUUUCUUUUAAAAUUUCAAGCUGCUUUAAGUCAAAUUGCCCCUGAGUUCCUGAUGAUGGCUGUGGUGAAAUUGCCUUGUUUUACUUUCUUGCCUUCUUUUCCAGAGCAGUUAUUUUACCUGAAAAUAACAAAAAGAUAUAGGCAGCAUAUCAGCCAGAAAACUAAUAUGGAAACCAGAGAUAAAGUAUACUCAACCUGCCUAGAAUUGUGACAUCCUAUAAUUUUAGGCUGAGUUGUAUAAAAUUAGCAAGUAAUAUGGAUGAAAGGGCCUUUGAAAAAUUUUUGCCACUCAUUUUGCAAAUGGGAAAAUUGAGGCUUCUAGUGGUUUUCCUAAAUUUUUUAUCUCAAGUACUUUAAGGUCUCAUGAGGAAAUAAAAUUUAUGUACAAAUAAUUUUAAUUAAAAGUAUAAAAAGUUGUUUCCCUGAAAAAUAAAACUUAAAACAGAUAACAAAAGGUUGAUUCUGUAAGGAGGAUUUCUAUUGGGAAAAGGACAGUUAGAUUUGACAGCCCAGAUGCUUACUCUCUAACAUUUCCCUACCCCUUGGCAGAAUCCUUCAAUAAUUAACACCAGGACAACCACAUAGACUUCAGCCAUGGGUGUGUCAGGGGCAUUUGAACCAGAGCAACUCCAUCUUGAAUAGGGUCUGGGCAAAGUGAGGCUGAGACCCACUGGGCUGCAUUCCCAGGAGGUUAGGCAUUCUUAGUUACAGGAUGAGAUAGGAGGUUGGCACAAGAUACAGGUCACAAAGACCUUACUGAUAAAAUAAUAUGGUACAGAAGCUGGCCAAAACCCACCAAAACCAAGAUGGUGACGAAAGUAACCUCUGGUAGUCUUCACUGCUCAUUAUGUGCUAAUUAUAAUGCAUUAGCAUGCUAAAAGACACUCCUACCAGUGCCAUGACAGUUUACAAAUGCCAUAGCAAUGUCAGGAAGUUAUACUAUAUGGUCUAAAAAGAGGAGGAACUCUCAGUUCUGGGAAUUGCCCACCUCUUUCCUGGAAAACUCAGGAAUAAUACACCCCUUGUUUAGCAUAUAAUCAAAUAACUAUAAGUAUAAUCAGUCAAGCAGCCUAUGCCACUGCUCUGUCUAUGGAGUAGCCAUUCUUCUAUUCCUUUACUUUCCUAAUAAACUUGCUUUCACUUUACUCUGUGGACUCACCCCAAAUUCUUUCUUGCAUGAGGUCCAAGAACCCUCACUUAAAGUCUUGAUCAGGACCCUUUUCUGGUAACAUCUUCCUGGUGACCACAAUGAGAUUAAACUAAGGAGACUCCCUACCCAAAAGAAAUAGAUUAGAUCACCAAUUGUAUGACUUUGGGUAAGUGAUAGGAACCAUUUUACCUGGUUAAAGGAUGGAAUUGGGUUAGAGGCCCAACUUAGGAGAGUUAGAGCCUCUCCUAAGACAGAGAGCUUAAAGGCCCCUCUUAAUAAAAGGCAAGGACGCUUGAUGGAACUUAGGUUCAAGGCCCAAACUAGGAAGGUUAGAGUCCUUCCUAAGAUUAAGGGGGUUAGAAGCUCCUCUCAGUAAAGUCCUUCUUGGUUAAAAAUGGAUUUCACAUUAUGGGAUAUUAACCAUUAUUCUCUUUGUAUUAAUCUGCCUUGCACUGUUUGCUGAUGUCUGUGGGUGACAGGAUUAGGUGUAUAUAGGAUCACUGGAUAUGGGGAGCAUUUUCUCCCUAAAGGGGAAAUUUGAGAGCUGAUGAGACAAUUGGCCACCUGAACUUUAGAUUCAGUGUUGCUGCAAUGGAUCGGUCUUGUCUGGCCUCCCUGAGCUCCUCAUUUUCCUCACCCUGCUGCAGGCAAUGCUUUUCUCCCUUUCUUUCUUUCCUUUCUCUUUUCUAUCUUUUCUGUUACUCAGGGCAACUGUCUACGGUUUCAGUUUGCCCAGAAACCACAUGUGGAAACUCCUGGUCAGAAGAUCAUUCCACACCAAUUUGAGUGGAUCAAAGAUGAAAAGGCCCAACUAGAAUCAUGUUUGAGCCUUCCCAGUUUGAUACUGGGUGCUAAGCAGAGUGGCUAAUGUCUAUGUUUUGUCACAUUUAUUUU
rnacentral:tRNA from 10 species